AUUCGGAUUAAAAAUUGAAUCAGGUAGUGCUUUUUCGAAGCCGUGCAAGCUAUCAGGCAAUCAAGAAGGGGCAACGGCGUCAGAACCAGCCAAUCAGGAAUCAAAACAAAGCGGAACAUCUGUGUUUGACAAACCAAAAGAGUAAAAGGAUCGCACUUUGUGAGCACAUUGAAUGGGAUAUGAUGCUAAAAUUCAACUUAAGAGAACCAUAAACAAAAUAACAAAUCAUUAAUUUUAUACUUUUCUUCACUUGCGUUUUGAACUGAUAAUGUAUCAAGUUUUGGAUUCUCCCCUCAUAAGCGAACAAGAAUUCUUGAACUUUCCGAGUACCAUUCGUUUUUUUGGAAACUUCUGUCCACCAGCAGUUCCUAGUUCUGAUCCCGACAUGCGCCAACAGGACCGGAGGCGGAGCAAAAAGCAGAAUGGUCCACUAGCAGAAUGAGUCCGAGAGCAGAAAAAUAGAAAAAAUUUUAACUUUUAUUGAUUUAUACGGGCUAAUUGAUAAAACAAUUGUUAAAAUCGUCAAUAAAACCAGGUAAAUGAAUGAAAGAUGCAUGAAUUGAAUAAUUUUAUCA